CAGGCUAUAUUUCAUGACCAGCCAUGAGUUCCUCUGACGAGGAAUCCCUGGAGAAGCUGAGUGUGUAUUUAAGCACGUCAGAAUGGUCUCAGCUGUUAUUUUGGGUAAAGAAGAGGUACAAGAGGAUGAAAAGAAACUACCUCUUCAUGCAAUCAAUAGGUCUGUCGUCUCAAGCUCCAGAGUUCAUGAGGAAGAGGGGCGGGACUAAAAGACAGAGGGCCACGCCCCCACCACCACCGAGUGACACCAGCGAUUCAGAAGAGGAGGAAUGGACACCCAGAAGCAUGGAGAGACCACGAC